GUGAGUCGCGAGCUCGCCGAAUCUGGCGGCGGAGCUCGGGCUCGCUUGGAUCGAGAGCUCGAGCUCCGCUGCCAGAUCUGGCGAGCUCGCGGCUCGC
rnacentral:pre_miRNA from 1 species